rnacentral:rRNA from 2 species
AGUUGCGAUCAUAUCAGCACUAAUACAUCUGAUCCCAUCAGAACUCCAUAGUGAAGUGUGCUUAGGCGAGAGUAGUACUAGGAUGGGUGACCUCCUGGGAAGUCCUUGUGUUGCACCUC